GCGGCGCCGCACAUGUGGAGGAACGGGGUUGGAGCCGGCUCAAAAUAAACUUCCGUCCAGAAUUUUACAGAUGUAACUCACCGGACCAGCUCGGGAAUAUCAUAAAUGUUUGAUUUUGGCUGAUGACGAUACAUAAAACUGCACUCCCAAUCAACAUUUGAGGCAACAUUAUCAGGCAUCAUGGAGUAGUGAAAGCAUCUCUGGCCUCUUCUCGACAUGCAGCUCAUCCAUCUUUAUGACUGGGAUUUCCAUUUC